rnacentral:rRNA from 1 species
AUGUUGCUCAGGGUUUGGACGGCAGACCGGCUACAGCGACGUGGAUGGCCUAAUUGCAACCUUUGCCCCCUUUGCAAACAAGUCCAAGAAUCAGCGGCACACCUUCUCUUCCAAUGCAGAUACACAGCUAGAGUUUGGGCUUUGAUCAAGGUUUGGCUUGGCCUUCAUGACGUGAACCUCGUGGAGUGGGGUCACAUGAAUUCAGUUAAAGACUGGUGGCGCCUCAACGCGACCAGGAAGACGCAGUCCAAAAAGCCGCUCAUCUCCCUCAUGCUACUCGUUUCGUGGGAAAUUUGAAAGGAACGAAACACAAGGGUCUUCCGCAACUUGGCGGUGCGGGUUGGUGUUAUUGUUGCUAGGAUCAAAGAAGAGUGUAAUCUGUGGUGUCUCGCCGGAGCGAAGCAUGUGUGUAAUUCAAUGCCGCGAGAGUGA